UGACAAGGAUGUGUAGCGAUUUAUUGUGUAUUAAUACUAUGUUUGUUACAACACUGUAUUCUUCCUACUUUUUCAUGACAAACGAAGGUUUAAAGUUCCGACACUUACUGACAUGACAAUAUGAAUGAUAUCGCUUGUCGUUUUCGUCUGUACGGAAUAUAAUUAAGCGUAUUUAUUGCAACUGUGAAAGUACUAAACUUGAGCGCAUUUAUAACAACUUCAUGUAAGAUUUUUACCUAAGUUUCACUAAGAGCCGCAUUAAGGAGGGCAGCUCUAAAUUCUGCAUGUCUGGACUUGGAGACCUCGGGAUCCCGGUGUCAUAUUUGGAUGUGUGGAUUUGGAACGGUUUCCUUUUGCAAGCUUUCAAAUAUUGGUUGUAAUACAGAAUAUCCACGCAAAAAAUACAUUUGCUGUUUUUCUUUGCUCUUAGUCUUGCUGUUGGGGUAGCAGGUGGUUAGGUUAGCCACCUGUGGACUUGAAGGACACAGGUUCAAGUCCCACCUGCUGUUGUAGCACAUGAUGCAUGUAUACUGAUAAUAGUGAAACUUUAUGUAGUAGAUCAAGAGAAAGGUAUUUCUGAAAGACAUGUUCUGAGAUUUUUCAUUAAUGUUCAGAGGGAUUCAGCAGUUCUGAGUGAAAGGGAGCUCACUCCUUCAGCAAAGUACUUAUCCUUAAUUGCCCCCAGAAAUUACAGCACUGUAUAAAUGGGUAAAGUAUUGUCAGUUUACCAGUGAUAGUUGAGGGAAGUGUCAGUGUAAUAAAUUAUAUUGCAAGUGGCUUUGGACAAAGACAUCUCCAUAAACUAAUACAUGUACAUGGAUACCAUAACAUUACUGUAGUGCCUGCUAAUUUUGAACUGUUUCAGCAGGAGAGCCACUGGUCUCCAUUCAUUCCUUGUAGCCAUGAUUGAAGAUGGAGAUGGAUGCAUCUCUCCUAUCCCUCCAAGGAAGAGGACGGACAGCAUGAGGUUGCCUCCAAAUUUAGUAAAAUGCAGUACUAUUUGUACAGUGUCCACAGGAAUAUCACCGGCAGUAACUAACCACGAUGAAAGACCAACGGUCCAGAGCCAAACGCAUCAUGGGAAGAAACUAAACACGCCAAACACUUGGAGUAACUGAUCGCUGUGUGGGACGUUUUCAUUGGAGUGCCGGUAACGCACAUACUGAUGUACUAAAGCUGGUGCUCCAGUGUGGGUUCAAGGACACUGGGAUCAUGAACCCCUUGGCGGCUUUGCAAUCUAGAAGGAAAGGUGAGGACCUGGAGGCACAGUGCUGGACUGAAUACCUAUCAGGUGCUACUGGUCAGGACCUGUAGGACCUCAAGUCAUAGUUCUGGGGAGGGAAAGCUAUUCUGGGGCUGCUGGCUUCUUUCAUGACUUCUAUACUAUUUCUGUAAAUGUACUGCCUAUAUAAAAUGUGACUUUCUUUUGAAGUUAAAGGUUUCCACAUACUGUUUUGAUUAAAUACUUAUUUACUAUUCUCCAACUGUGUAAUAUAAUUGUACAUAUUUUUAGCUGUAUUUUCCCCACUUGUUUUAUAUUGUAAGUAU
ensembl:lncRNA